rnacentral:rRNA from 1 species
CAGUAGCCGCGGUAAUCCGUAGGUGGCAAGCGUUGUCCGGAAUUAUUGGGCGUAAAGGGCUCGCAGGCGGUUUCUUAAGUCUGAUGUGAAAGCCCCCGGCUCAACCGGGGAGGGUCAUUGGAAACUGGGAAACUUGAGUGCAGAAGAGGAGAGUGGAAUUCCACGUGUAGCGGUGAAAUGCGUAGAGAUGUGGAGGAACACCAGUGGCGAAGGCGACUCUCUGGUCUGUAACUGACGCUGAGGAGCGAAAGCGUGGGGAGCGAACAGGAUUAGAGACCCCCGUAGUCCCUGUCUCUUAUAC